rnacentral:ncRNA from 1 species
AACUGCGCAACUGGCGGAAAGCGAGUGAAUUCUCUCGUGGUGGGAGGACCCACAGGGAGCGCAGCAUAAUGAAACGGCCGACCGCCUGGGCACCA